CCUCACCCUCACUCUCCCUUCCCACCUCUCCCUCACACACGUCGUCUCUGCAGUCUGCACGCUGGAUCUGCUGCCUCCCUACCACCACGCCCAUGCUGACCUCGCCCUCCUCCCCAGCGCGCCCCUACCACCGCCUCCUCCUGAUCGCGCACCUGUCACCGCCUCCACCCGACUCUGCCGCUAAGCGGGCGUCCCACCGGGUCGUGUUCGGCACCAAAGCGACUGGAUGGGCUCGGCCCGGACCCCACUCCCGACCAUGCGCUGCCGCCAGUCGAUGAGCCGGUCAGUCGCCUUGGCGUACCGCUUCCUGCCCGACGCGUCGCGGUUGCCAGACCAGAGCGCCUCCGCCAUGGCCGAGGCUCUCGGCCACACCCGGCCGUGCAUGACGGUCUAUCUCUGCAUCUGAACUGCACUACAACUCUGCAUACAGCCGUAUCACUACCACCUUCACAUAUAUAAUUUUUUUCAGGUUAGAUCAACAAAUAGCUUCACAUUCUGCAGCCCCUGUAGGAGUCCUCAUACUAAAAAUUUUCAGUGAAAUUUAUAAGUCUCACAUAUGUGCAAUGCUGCAUCAGAGUAAGAAUUUACUGCAAAAGUCAGUUGUUCGAGGCAAAAAAUUGACAGUCUUCAUAUGUAGUUUUGAUCAUUGUGAAGAGUAUAUAUUGCAGUCAUUGUACCAUGGCACGGUGCCACGGUCUAUAAUACAGACAAUUAUCAAAAGUGGAGAGACUACAAAUUAAACCCUUCCACCACAUGAUAAAGUUAGAUUAGUAUAGCCCUACAGGAGGCACUAUACGGGAACAUACCAAAGAACUCACAUAAGGACAUGAUCAAAAUAUAGGGCCCGCUGAGGCAUUUAUGCAAACAGACCUCCGUCUAGCAACGGGAACUCCAUAGUUUCAUUGCUAAAAUCUAGAUCAUCAUACCAGUUAUUCUGCAGUCCAGGUAGUACCAUUGUAUCAUUGCACUGGAUUAAAUCGAUGCUAUUCAGUCCUAUAUCCCCGAAGGAGACGCCUUGAAGUUGAUAGCCGGACAGUUCAUCAGGUAGACAAGUCAAAUCAGUGCUGCAUAAUAUACUUGCCUCUUCUGAAGUAAGCAAAAUAUUUUAGUAUAAGACAGGAUAAUUAUCGAUCAUAAAUACAUAUGCAUGCUUAUAAUAUAAUUUCAGUUGAUAGUAGCGAUUGUUUGCAAUAGAUUUUAUCGAAAAACAGACCAUUCAGUAGUUAUAGAUUCUCUAAUAUGUCAGCCAAAUGAACUAAGAAUUCUGUCCAGAUGAAAAUAAAAGAUUAAAGAUGUUCUCAAAGACAAAUAAAAUAUGUUCGUUGGGUCAUUCACUGAAAAGUUUUCUGCUCCCAAAGCCAGCUAUGGUGUGACAAAAAAUAUAGCAAGUAAAUAGACUCCACUCUGCAGCGCUAUAAAAUCAGAAGACAAGAUGAUACGACCCAACAUGUAAUCUUGUUUGUUGCAGGUCUUUACUACGACUGCAACUUUGAAGUUUGGUAUUCAUAUAAUCAAUAGGCUCAACAGUAUGUCCCUUGUAAAUGGUAGGAUCAGAGUGCUUCUGCUAUGUCAUCUUCGACACUUCCUGGUGUUUGCAACAAACAAAGUGCUUCUAUGCUGUGCAGUUCUUGUUUCUUACAAGUGGUGAUGGUGGUAGUGGUCUGGUCUCUAUGUGAGCAUUGGUCUAGAGUAUCGUGAAGCUAUGCGGCUCUUCUUUCAUGUUCAAGAUGAAGUUCAUGAAGCUUGGAUCGAAUCUGGAUACCUUUAAUGAUGAUGGCAAUGAAAUCAGAUGAUCGAUCGCUUCUUUUAAUUUGGCUUUUACCUUGUUUCUUUAAUGUUGCCUUUGAAUCCUUGUGUUGUUCUUAGAAUCUGACUGAUUUUUAUUUAUUUCAAUUAUAAAUGGUAUGAUCUGACUAAGAAAUUCCUAGACGCAUUCUCCCUGAUUGCUGUUACUGUUGAUGGAUACUAGAUGAUUAUAUAAUAUGUGGUAAAGUUUUCCCAAUAAGCUCAGUUGUGCAGAUCGUUUGUUUCUUCUUCUUAGUUAGAGUGAAAUUAUUUACUUUAUGAAUAACUAGAUCCAUAUAGGAUAUAGUGAUGUUAUUUAGGAUGGAGGGAUUCUUAUCGCUCUUUGGUGCUUCUCCCUAUAAUCAGUGCUGAAUAACUAGAUCCAUAGUGCUGAUAAAUUUUUGGUGCUUCUCCCUAUAAUCAGUAAUAGCAUACUAAAAGUACCUUUGAACUAGAAACCUUAUGAUAUUAUUUUUCCACAAUAAAUUCUUGGUGCUACUCCCUGUAUAUCAGAGGUUAUAAUCACUCCUGAGCACAACGAAGAAGGGAUUUACACGAUCAGAUUCUACAUUCAGCGAAGAUGCAGGCUAUCUCCUGCUAAUGUUGCUGCCGAAGAAAUGAACUUCUUACUUUUAUGUAGAGGCAACACUUACUAAUAUGAUGCUCGAAUUUGCAAUGAAUGAUGUGUGUGUGUGCUAUUUUCGGACCACUGGUAUUUAAAACUGACAACCAUGAAAUUUUGGUACACAUGAAUCCCAAGCAAUUUGUGUAACAUAUGGCUAAACAAAACAUUGAUGCUUGAUUUGUGAUCCAGCUGAUUUUGAUGUCAA